rnacentral:rRNA from 1 species
UAUGUGAUCGUCUCUCGCAUAUCAAUAAGCGGAGGAAAAGAAACUAACAAGGAUUCCCCUAGUAACGGCGAGUGAAGCGGGAAGAGCUCAAAUUUGAAAUCUUAAAGGGUUUCCCUUGACGAAUUGUAGUUUAAAGAAGUGUUUUCUGUUAGUGGAGUUUGGUAAAAGUUCUUUGGAAUAGGACAUCAUAGAGGGUGAGAAUCCCGUAUUUGACCUUUACUUUCAACUUUGUGAUACACUUUCAAAGAGUCGGAUUGUUUGGGAAUGCAGUCCAAAAGUGGGUGGUAAAUUUCAUCUAAAGCUAAAUAUUGGCGAGAGACCGAUAGCGAACAAGUACCGUGAGGGAAAGAUGAAAAGAACUUUGAAAAGAGAGUUAAACAGUACGUGAAAUUGUCAAAAGGGAAGCGUUUGACACCAGUGUUGUUUUUCUGAAAAUCAAUUAAAGAACUGUUUAUGCUAAGCUGUUUAAACUUUAUCAGCUAUCUGUUUAGUUUUGAGCUUUUCUUUAAUGCACUUUUCAGUUAACAAGUCAACAUCAAUUUCUUUUGCUGUAAAAAAGCUUGAGGAAGGUGGCUUGAGAUUCGUCUUAAGUGUUUAUAGCCUCUUGCCUAUGCAGUCGGAGAGAUUGAGGUCUGCAGCGUAGAUCCUUCGGGGCUAAAUGCAUUUGUGCUAAGUUAUAGCAUUUUAUAGACAACUUGUUGACUAUGAUUUGUCUUGUAGCUUACUCGCUUAUGUUAUUUUACCUACGCUUAGGAUGUUGAGCGCAUGUCUCUCUCU